CUGCCUGUAUGGGCGCCAAUUAAUUUAGAGCGAGGAGGAAGAGAGAAAGUUCGUGGCUACUCGCCUUUCAGUUGUCGCCAGUAGUUGUGAAUUGUGUUCAUUUAGAAAUUUCCUGAGUGCGUGUGCAAGUCCCGUGUGCGUCUAUGAGAGGUGAGUGCAUGAACCUCUUUGUACUGUUUAGCAUUUAUUAUUGUUGUUUGAGACACCACGAGUUAGCUCCGCGCGCUAAGCUUAUUAGCGAAUUGCUAAAGUGCCAUCUCGGUAUUUACUGUGAGUUGUAUGUUAGUAUAUUGGCCUUGCUGUCACUACUGGGCUGUAAUUCGCUUUAUUUUCUCCUUUAUACAGAAAACCACACACCCACAUACACACUCAUUCAUCCACGAAUUAACCGGCACCAAUUCCUGCUAAGCCAUCUACAGUUUAGUUGACUACCCAUCCAAAUUAAACCAUCGCCAUUACACGGACAUUGUCGCCAUCUGUUGUACCAUUUUGGAACUGCCAUUUUGGAUAAAGUAAUUUUAAGUUACUGCAAUCUGCCUCCUCAUUAUUCUGCCUCCUUCCAUCCAUCCUUGGACAUCCUGGGCCAUGAAGUAGCGCUCUGGCCGGCGCCCCAGCUUGUGUGAGAUAGAAAUUUGAACCACCCAGAUCUACAGUCAGGUUUCCUAAGCUAUCGCAAAUCCUCCCCCACAGUGUACUUGUUGUGUUUUUCUGAGUUUUGCAGCCCUCUGCUGGCGCUUGGGUGUGACUGAUUUUAUAGGCUUCAGCACCCAUGAGCAUUGUGUGCCCAGAAGGCAAGGAAUCCUUCGCAGCAUCGACAGUGGCAACAGCCUGACCACGGACGCCAUCGUGCAGAGGAUCACCAAAAACAGACUACUUUUUCAAGACAGGAACCAGAAGAAAGAAGCCACAGAGAUUGUAGUGAUCCAGGCCAUGCAGCGACACCAUGUGGCGGACCAGUGUUACGACCAGUGUUGUUAAUAACGGCGUUACAAUAUAACGGCGUUACUAACGGCGUUAUUUUUUUCAGUAAUGAGUCAUCUAAUUAAUUACUUUUCUCAUCUUGGCAACGCCGUUACCGUUACUGAGGCGGGAAAGGCGUGCGUUACUAUGCGUUACUAAGUUGGUUGAAUAAAAAAAAAGUCUGAGAGAAAUGGACUCACGGGGACGAGAGCUGAGCAGGAGUGGGGAAGAUGCCGUUGCAACCGCGAUGCUAGGUGGCUCCAAUAAUACACGACUGCAGCCAUAGCCGACAAACUACGCCCACAUGACACAGUAGAUAUCAUAUUAUAGAACUAGAUGCAAAUGACAGACACUGCUGCAUUGCCAACAUGUUUUAAGGACUACAUGCGUUUGUAAACAGCCGCCAUCUUAAAGCAGUAGACCUCUCAGGAAGGCCCUGAUGUAGAGAUCCUUCCUCGCGAACCUAAGUAAUUUUUUAAAAUAUAAAAUGCUCCUAAAUCGGCAAAAUCUUAACUUAAAUCUAUCUUUAAAUGAUGAAACAGUUUUAAAACUUACACAUGUUUAAAGUAGACAGAAGGGAACUAAUGCAAUAACGGGAGAAAUUUUAACAACUUUAACGAUUGAUUCACAACUUUAAAUGACUUCCACACAUAGCAAAGGUUACUAGCUAGUUAUCGCAAUACCCUUGUGUCUAGUUAAGCGGAGGGUAAAGAAUUGGGCUAGGGCCAACUGUCCCCCAAACCCUUUAAGCUUCACAUUGUGUGACCUGUGGGGUUUUUUUUGAGAAAAAAAAAAUAUAUAUCACUAGUUACUUUACCAAGUAACUAAUUACUCUUACAUUCAGGUAACUGAGUUACUAACGCAAUUACUUUUUGGGAGAAGUAAUUUGUAACUGUAAUUAAUUACUUUUUUAAAGUAAAAUUAAGAACACUGCAUGGCACUAAAUGCGUUAGUAGACAGCCGCCAUCUUAAAGCAGUAGACUUUUUAGGACGGCUCUGUUGUAGAGAACCUUCCUAGCGAACCUAAGUAACUUUUUAUCUAAAAUACUUCUAAAUUGGCAAAAUCUUGACUUGAAUCUAUCUUUAAAUGAUGAAACAGUUUUAAAACUUUCAUAUGUCGAAAUUAGAGAGAAGGGAACAAAUGCAAUAAUGGGAGCAAUUUUAACAACUUUUAACAGUUGAUUCAGGGUAAAGGGUAAAUUAGGGUAAUGAAUUGGGCUCGGGCCAAUUGUACCAAAAACCUUCACAAAAAACUUCACAUAGUGUGGCCAAUGGUUUUUUUUUUUUUUCCUUGGAGGGGGAAAAAAAAAAAAAAAAAAGUAAUUAUCUCCAAUUACUUUGCCAAGUAACUAAUUACUCUUACAUUCAGGUAAUUGAGUUACUAACGCAGUUACUUUUUGGGAGAAGUAAUUUGUAACUAUAAUUAAUUACUUUUUUUCAGUAAGAUUAACAACACUGGUUACGACACCAAAUGAGCCUAAAGUCAAGGGAAUCCUAGCGCAACACAGUGGUCCGGAGUUUAGCUUUGGCUUGUUUUUAGUUUAUUUAUAAACAAGCAAGGCAUAUUAGAGUUUCUUGCCUUGAAAAGAUUGAAACACCCUCAUUUUUACAAUUCUUUUUUUUUUUCUAUCUGGUUGUUGCUUUCCUACCUUUAUUUCCCAAGAAAAGCAUGCACAAGCCACAAGCUUUGCCUUCAAAAUAAACCCUUAACUUUUUUGAAUGGUCAACAACUGGAAUAUUCCUCCUCUGUUUUGUUUUAUUUUUUCACUGCUUGCUUGCCCUGUAAGUGGAUGCUUUUUUUUUCACCUCUUGGAUCCUCCGGUGUAACCGGACUACAGUUUUAUGUCUCUAAAACCAGCACUAACUGUGACCCCUGUGGAAACUUUUAACAGACUUGUGUCAGGAAAUCAUUCUACAUAACUAAUAAACAGAAAACAAGCUAUUUUCAGAAUUCUGCUGUG